GCCCGGGUGGUGGAACUGGUAGACACGCUAUCUUGAGGGGGUAGUGGCCGUAAGGCCGUGCGGGUUCGAGUCCCGCCUCGGGCACCA
rnacentral:tRNA from 6 species